AGAACAUGACUUUCGAUUCAUUCCAUUAUCCCAAUAAAGGUAUACAUCCCUGCAUAAAAUGUCGGAUUAAAAAGAUUUAAAAAGUAUUGACAUUUUGAAUACUUCUUAAUUCUGCUUUCUGAUGCAAAAAAAGGGAUUGAAAAGUAUUAGUUCGCAUUAAACUUUAAGUCUCGUCUACAAUAGACGCAAGGACUGUAUCGCACGUUGUAUGAGAAUGUCGCAGGCUGUCACAGUCACAAGAGCCUUUGUCGCACAAAGUUGAGUCAACUUCAACUUUUUUGCGACUGCGAAAGCUGCGACAAAUAUGUCGUAUGAAAUCAGCCAAUAUAUAAAUAGCACAGCACGUUGGCGCUAGAAGUGCUUUGACAAUUUGCGUGUGUUGAUACGUAAAUUAUAUUAUUGUAGACAUUCGUCUAGCGACACUUGCGACAAAUUUUCCUGCGACACUAUUACUACGACGCAGUUCUUGCAUCUAGGCCUUACUGCACUGAAUGCGAGACGGCAGUGGUAACAAAUGUUAAUAAAUUUUAACUUUUAUAACAAUUGAGGAAUUGUUUUUUCUUUUUAAUUAUUAAUUAAAUUAUUAAUUAAAAUUAUUAAUUAAAGAAAAACAUUUGUUCACUAAAUUCUAUUGUCGAACAGUCAGAUAUAUUUUAUUUCGUUCUUGAAAAGUAUUUGAAUCGACUGUGAUUGUUCAAUUUCUUAAAUCUUACAUCUUAAGGGGAUACUAAACUGCUCUGUUUUAUCAUUAAUUUUCGGACACCGAAAUCUUUUUAUUGAUUGCAUGGAAUUGAAAAUCCUUCUCCAAAAUUAAAGUACAGAUAAUAACGCGGUGCGCUGCAAUCGAUUUCAUACAAAAAA